CCUACGGGUGGCAGCAGUGAGGAAUAUUGGUCAAUGGGCGCGAGCCUGAACCAGCCAAGUAGCGUGCGGGAUGACGGUCCUAUGGAUUGUAAACCGCUUUUGUCGGGGAGCAAAAGACGCCACGCGUGGCGUUCCGAGAGUACCCGAAGAAAAAGCAUCGGCUAACUCCGUGCCAGCAGCCGCGGUAAUACGGAGGAUGCGAGCGUUAUCCGGAUUUAUUGGGUUUAAAGGGUGCGCAGGCGGAAGAGCAAGUCAGCGGUAAAAUUGCGAGGCUCAACCUCGUCGAGCCGUUGAAACUGGUUGUCUUGAGUGAGUGAGAGGUAGGCGGAAUGCGUGGUGUAGCGGUGAAAUGCAUAGAUAUCACGCAGAACUCCGAUUGCGAAGGCAGCAUACCGGCGCUCAACUGACGCUCAUGCACGAAAGUGUGGGUAUCGAACAGGAUUAGAUACCCUGGUAGUC
rnacentral:rRNA from 1 species